GACUUCUUCAGCCCCAAAUCAAAAGUAACAGCCACAAAAAUUUUCCUCAGCUCCGCUGCUGCGGCAGCAGCAACCCAGCUGACUGCCGGAAAAUCAAGAUUCAGCCUCGGAACCUGAGGUCAGGCGAUCUUCUUCUCCUCCUGUUCAUCAUUUUGCAGCAAGUAUUAUAGGCAACAAUGAAGAUAUCUGAACACAUCUUUUACUUUACUUCCUCCUUCGAUUUCGGUCAGUCUCCAAGCAAUGGCUCUCAAUCAUUUGCAGCCCCAUUUUCAGCAGUCUCCAUUCUGGAUUUUAUUCCUCCACCACCACCACCACCACCACCGCAACUUGUUCCUCCUGUAAAGAUGCUGCGUUCGUUUUGGUUGAACUCGAAAGGGACAGGCUGGAUUUCAUCUCUUUCCUCCAAGACUAUGCAAGUUCAGCGGGUUAAUUUGUGUGAACAUCUCUGAUUAAAAGCUGGCAUCACUCUGAAUCUUAAUGCUGUACCCUACAGUGCUGUAAGAUGGAUGCAUGCAAUCAAGAGGUUUUUCAAUGACAGUGAGAAACCAAGUAUUUGCCUAUCAGCUAGACAGACUUCUGCUCAUUCCUUUGGAGUACAGUUCCAAGGAACAUCAUCAUUGCAUCUUUGCCUUCUCCAGACACCUCACUUGCCAGUACUUUCGUGACAUAUCCUAUGGUUUGUAAAUAUGCCUAGUCUUCCCUUAACGUAUCCAAACUUGUGCAAUCUGUAACUGAUCCUACAGUUACUAAAAUGCUUUUGCUAUCACUCUAGGAAAAUUACUUUAGCCUAAGCUUUCUAAGUUCUGAACAUCAACCUUUCGUCAACUAUCAAAGCAUACAACCAACAUAAUUAUGCGACUGUAAUCUAUAUGUGAUUAUGCCCAGGGUUGCGUGAGGCAAAAUCGCCUAGUAUUUUUUAAUUGCAGGGACUUCCAUUUUGAUUUUAUGAUUAAAUAAACUUUGCCAGUUUUUUCAAAAUUUUUUUUCAAUAAUUUACUGUUAUAACAUUCCAUGUAUAAAUGUAGGAUGCAUUUGGAAUUAUAAAAACCAUUUAUCAUAACUUGAAGUCUGUAGAUUCAGAGAGGAAGUGCUUGCAAUUUGCAUAUUCCUUAUCAAUGGUUAGAAUUUCCUUUCUGGAGACCUUUCACCAUGGAUCGUUUUACAGAAAUCUAGUGGAUUGCUGCUCUUAUAUUUCUAUCCAAUAUGUACAUAUUAAACAAGCAAGGCAGUUGAGUGAGUACGUUAUAAGAUUGGUUUAGUUUUUAAUGAGCUUAAAACUUGAUCUUCAAGUUUCGGUUUCAUGAUUUGAACCAAACUGAAACAAAACUCAAUCUAGCCAUUCUCAAGAGAUUAAGUUGUUUGACUGGGCAUCAUCUUUGAACUUUAUAUUACUCCAUCAUUGGAGCUGGACUAGUUCACAUGUUUUUUGUGUAGAUCAAGAUUUAGGAAACAAUUAAGACCAAUGAAGACUCAAGAACUAUGUGAUGCAUCUAAGUUUAUUAUGCAGUCUUCAAUUUCUAUCAGUGCUUGCCCUGUAUCAACAGCUCAGUCUCAAUCUAAGGCUCAAUAAUACGAAUAUAUUCAAGUAUCACAACACUUUCUUUGUUAAGUUAUACUGUAUUAGUACCAUGUUUGUCUAAUCCAAAUACUAUGAAUUUGGCAUGUUUAAUCCAAAUACAAAACAGCUUUCAAUAGCUUGCUAAAAGAAACCAUGGAAAUCUCUUGUUGGUUCAAAACGCUUUUGCUCACUCAACUCUUCCUGGAACUUCUGAAGUGUUUCAGUUUUUUUUUCCCUUUGAAUUUCAAUGCACAUAGAGACCCUAAUUAGUUCAUGAUGUAUGAUAAGUGAUUAAUUUACGUUAUAUUUGAAUGAUAUUUUAUGUUAUUUUUAGUCACUUUGGUUAUA